UGAGUUAGCGGCGGACGGGUGAGUAACACGUGGGUAACCUACCCAUAAGACUGGGAUAACUCCGGGAAACCGGGGCUAAUACCGGAUAAUAUUUUGAACUGCAUAGUUCGAAAUUGAAAGGCGGCUUCGGCUGUCACUUAUGGAUGGACCCGCGUCGCAUUAGCUAGUUGGUGAGGUAACGGCUCACCAAGGCGACGAUGCGUAGCCGACCUGAGAGGGUGAUCGGCCACACUGGGACUGAGACACGGCCCAGACUCCUACGGGAGGCAGCAGUAGGGAAUCUUCCGCAAUGGACGAAAGUCUGACGGAGCAACGCCGCGUGAGUGAUGAAGGCUUUCGGGUCGUAAAACUCUGUUGUUAGGGAAGAACAAGUGCUAGUUGAAUAAGCUGGCACCUUGACGGUACCUAACCAGAAAGCCACGGCUAACUACGUGCCAGC
rnacentral:rRNA from 1 species